rnacentral:rRNA from 1 species
AGUGAACGCUGGCGGUAGGCCUAACACAUGCAAGUCGAACGGCAGCACAGUAAGAGCUUGCUCUUACGGGUGGCGAGUGGCGGACGGGUGAGGAAUACAUCGGAAUCUACUUUUUCGUGGGGGAUAACGUAGGGAAACUUACGCUAAUACCGCAUACGACCUACGGGUGAAAGCAGGGGAUCUUCGGACCUUGCGCGAUUGAAUGAGCCGAUGUCGGAUUAGCUAGUUGGCGGGGUAAAGGCCCACCAAGGCGACGAUCCGUAGCUGGUCUGAGAGGAUGUGCGCCCACACGGGAACUGAGCCACGGCCCGGACCCCUCCGGGAGGAACCAGGGGGAAAUUUGGGACAAGGGGCGAAAGCCUGACCCAGCCUUCCCGGGGGGGUAAAAAAGGCCUUCGGUUUGUAAACCCUUUUUGUGGGAAAAAAAAAGAAGCGGUUUAAUCCCCCGCUUUUCUGACGGUACCAAAAAAAAAAGCCCCGCCUAACUUCGUC